CCUACGGGUGGCUGCAGUGGGGAAUAUUGCACAAUGGGCGCAAGCCUGAUGCAGCCAUGCCGCGUGUGUGAAGAAGGCCUUCGGGUUGUAAAGCACUUUCAGCGGGGAGGAAGGCGUUAAGGUUAAUAACCUUGUCGAUUGACGUUACCCGCAGAAGAAGCACCGGCUAACUCCGUGCCAGCAGCCGCGGUAAUACGGAGGGUGCAAGCGUUAAUCGGAAUUACUGGGCGUAAAGCGCACGCAGGCGGUCUGUCAAGUCGGAUGUGAAAUCCCCGGGCUCAACCUGGGAACUGCAUUCGAAACUGGCAGGCUAGAGUCUUGUAGAGGGGGGUAGAAUUCCAGGUGUAGCGGUGAAAUGCGUAGAGAUCUGGAGGAAUACCGGUGGCGAAGGCGGCCCCCUGGACAAAGACUGACGCUCAGGUGCGAAAGCGUGGGGAGCAAACAGGAUUAGUACCCUUGUAGUC
rnacentral:rRNA from 1 species